CCAGACUCCUACGGGAGGCAGCAGUGGGGGAUAUUGGACAAUGGGGGGAACCCUGAUCCAGCGACGCCGCGUGAGUGAAGAAGUAUCUCGGUAUGUAAAGCUCUAUCAGCAGGGAAGAAAGAAAUGACGGUACCUGAGUAAGAAGCCCCGACUAACUACGUGCCAGCAGCCGCGGUAAUACGUAGGGGGCAAGCGUUAUCCGGAUUUACUGGGUGUAAAGGGAGCGUAGACGGCUGUGCAAGCCAGAUGUGAAAGCCCGGGGCUCAACCCCGGGACUGCAUUUGGAACUGUGUGGCUGGAGUGUCGGAGGGGCAGGCGGAAUUCCUAGUGUAGCGGUGAAAUGCGUAGAUAUUAGGAGGAACACCAGUGGCGAAGGCGGCUUACUGGACUGUAACUGACGUUGAGGCUCGAAAGCGUGGGGAGCAAACAGGAUUAGAUACCCGUGUA
rnacentral:rRNA from 1 species